CGGAAGCGGAAUUUUGAGAUGCUCCUGGAUUCUACGUUACAGGAGUCCCUUAACAUCCGGUGUCUCAGAUGCUCCCUAGAAGUUGGUGAGAUAAACAGGACUAGCCAGAUCUCCGUUCCAGAAACAAUUCAGCCUGUCCAAAGAUGUCCUCUCCACCCUUUCCCUACUUCCUGCCCCUGAAAAACCACAUUUUCCAAACGGGAAGCCAGGAGCUGGAGAAGUACAGACAGCUACGUUGCCUGGAUUCGUAAAGAAUGGGUCCUCUGAGUUUGCCCGCUCUCCAUGCAAAUUUCUUUCGCGGCCUCUCUCCAACGACACGACUCGAUCAGCACGAUCUGCUCUCCUUAUCCUACAGGUUCUUCUGUCAAGUUGUCCAGGAAGGAGCACCACCUGGGAGCAGGGCCCAAAACCUACCGGUGUUGAUUAAAAGAUCUUUCCCAGCAUGACGCCUCACCCACUGAGGUCAAGGCUUAUCCCAAAUGAAACAGUGCUACGCAGCGGGAAGGCUAUGCCAUUGAAAGGGUCCGCUGAACUACAGGCUUUCAGAAGAACGACCCUGGGCUGACAAAAUGGAACUUCCCGUGACUACUUCCCUGUGUAUUUUGAUAGCUAUCAACUCAACAGGAGAAAAACAAAAAUCAUAAUGGAAAUGAUGAAACCUAGCUUAAACUUUCUGGAGAAGGGAAGGUGGAAGAGACUCGUAACAAGGAACAACGGCGCCUAAUACCAUCUGCACUCAAAAAAAUAGUAAAUGUUAGAUACGGCCACACUGGCAUAGUGUCAUUGUGCUCGAUUAGAAAGGGUGAUCCCCCCAAGCCCCAAAGGCUAUGGCGCUCGUCAACAUGAAAAAUAAUGUUUAAUGGGCAUAAAAGGAGUCCUAUUAACAAGUUUCAUAUUGGCAUAAUCUAUGCAAUUUAAAAAAAAAAAUAAAGGUUUUGAUGCUCUGA